UAAUCCUGGGUGCUGUACACAUAAGCGUCAACUUGAGCGAAUAUUGGAACACAGAAACCAAAUGAAUUAAAAGAUUGUUCAUCUGCUCUCAUUGCUGCUGGCAUACAUUGGAGAAGAAAAGCAAGAUCUUUGCUAUUUAGAAUAUAUAAUAAAAGGAGUUCCUUUGAAGAAGAUGUAGAGAUUAAUGAAUCAGACUGAAACAUUCUUUCCCAGUUCUCAUUUGCUGCAGCUUUGGACCGAACCAUGCUGGUGAUCACAUGCGGAGGAUCAGAGUACCCUCUCAAGGAUAACGAAUUCACUACUACAGCUGAACGCAGCCACGGUGUGGAUGAAGAACUGCCCAACAGCUCCGCCAGGUGACGCAGAGCACACGUGGAGCUAAAGGACAUUUAAGCCUACGUACAAGGACACAGAGGCCAGAGGGGAUGGGGAAAGGCAGGUAAAAAUGCAGCCUGGCCCAUUAGACCAGAAUGUGGGAUUGAAAACAGCAAGAGGAUGGCUAGGAUGACUCCAAGUACUUCUCCAAGUACCUCCACUCAUCUCCUAGGUAGGAAGCAAAUGAGC